rnacentral:rRNA from 1 species
CCUACGGGAGGCAGCAGUGGGGAAUAUUGCGCAAUGGGCGAAAGCCUGACGCAGCGACGCCGCGUGAGGGAUGAAGGUUUUCGGAUUGUAAACUCCUUUUGUUAGAGAAGAUAAUGACGGUAUCUAACGAAUAAGCACUGGCGAACACCGUGCCAGCAGCCGAGGUAAUACGGAGGGAGCAAGCGUUACUCGGAAUCACUGGGCGUAAAGAGCGCGUAGGCGGGAUAGCAAGUCAGUUGUGAAAUCCUAUGGCUUAACCAUAGAACUGCAUUUGAAACUGGUAUUCUAGAGUAUGGGAGAGGUAGGUGGAAUUCUUGGUGUAGGGGUAAAAUCCGUAGAGAUCAAGAGGAAUACUCAUUGCGAAGGCGACCUGCUAGAACAUAACUGACGCUGAUGCGCGAAAGCGUGGGGAGCAAACAGGAUUAGAUACCCUUGUAGUC